CAUUACUGAGUUUACGCUCUACAACCCUUUGUGAACAUACCUAUAACUGUUGCUUCGGCGGGUAGGGUCUCCGUGACCCUCCCGGCCUCCCGCCCCCGGGCGGGUCGGCGCCCGCCGGAGGAUAACCAAACUCUGAUUUAACGACGUUUCUUCUGAGUGGUACAAGCAAAUAAUCAAAACUUUUAACAACGGAUCUCUUGGUUCUGGCAUCGAUGAAGAACGCAGCGAAAUGCGAUAAGUAAUGUGAAUUGCAGAAUUCAGUGAAUCAUCGAAUCUUUGAACGCACAUUGCGCCCGCCAGCAUUCUGGCGGGCAUGCCUGUUCGAGCGUCAUUUCAACCCUCAAGCUCUGCUUGGUGUUGGGGCCCUACGGCUGACGUAGGCCCUCAAAGGUAGUGGCGGACCCUCCCGGAGCCUCCUUUGCGUAGUAACUUUACGUCUCGCACUGGGAUCCGGAGGGACUCUUGCCGUAAAACCCCCAAUUUUCCAAAGGUUGACCUCGGAUCAGGUAGGAAUACCCGCUGAACUUAAGCAUAUCAA
rnacentral:rRNA from 3 species